ensembl:lncRNA
GAACAUUUUAAAUUCUAAAAUUUGUUAGCCUCGUUGGAAUUGAAAGUUCUGUAUGUUAGUUAGGAACAACGUAAUUUAAUGUCUAGAAUAACAUAUUUUUACUCUAGUGUUACAUGACUUUAUAGAUGGUACAAAGAUCUUUGUGUGGUAUAACAAGAAAAUUCUAAAACUAUUAGUUCUGUAACUACUUUAAACUUAAAUUAUCUAAACUUCUGACAGUUACCACAGGAAACAUUUAAAAGUAAUCCUAGAAAGUGCAAAAUGUGUCAAGUUUGAUAUAUGUUAAAAGAAAAGCUUCAUUUCUUCUUAAACUAAUUGACAAUAAAGAGUUACCUGUCUAUCUGUCUUUGUCUAACAUUUUCCAGCUGGAUAAAUUCAAUUAUUACUAAACUUGACAAAAAGCAAUGAUAUUAUUAAUGAAAUUAACACAUGAUGUUAAAUUUUUACCACAAUAUUCCAGUGAUUUUUAAUUAAGUGCAUGUAAUUAGAGAUAAGAGGAGUUCAUAGGUGAGAAUGUGAAUUAUUCGAGUUUGUUAUUCUUAUUUUUGAUAGAAUAGCAACCUAUCAUUUGCACAUUUCAAAAGUUAAAUAUUAUCAUGUUUCUAGAUUAUUACCUACAAUUUAAGUAUACCUCUGUCCUUCUCAGGAAACUCAUUUGUUACACUUAACAGGGCCAUUACAUUUAUAUGUGUCAAACAUGGAGUGUCAAAGGUCAAAGAGUCCUCUAAAACCUUGACAGCAUUUAGGUAGGUAGGUAGGUGGGUGGGUGGGUAGAUAGAUAGACAGACAGACAUGAACAUGGAUACUAUGACAUUAAGUGAAUUACAAAAUUAUUAUAAUCUUUAUGCUAUAUAGACACACAAAAAUAUAUUUAAAAAUAGCACAUAUAUUUAAGAUGAGGGUUUUAAAUAGAAUGGAAAAGUUCCGUUUGAUUCAGUUCAACAAACAACUAUGAAUUUUAUCUUAUGUGUUUGGCUCUGUAUCAGGUCCCAGAUAUCCAUAUGUCAAGUUCCUGCUUCAAGGACUGAAGCUGUCAAAAAGCAAUUAAAAACCCACCUCAGGCAUCAUCAACAUGGAGUUCUCAAGUCCAUAUGGCUCCUCACAGUGAACCAGGUCUUAAGGAAAAUGCAGAGGUGCCACAGCAGGAACACGGACAGCGGUCCACCUGAGAGAGAUAGCAGCCAAGCACUCAGCUCCCCGUUGAGCUUGAUGAAGGCGGGUCGGCCUCCCCCCCUGUGCCCUUCCUCGGCCUCCCCACCUUCACCCUUCCCCGGCCUCGUCCCUGGCCACCCCUGCCCUGUCCGAGCUGAAGGCCAAGGCCUGCUGGCUCCAGAAAGGCCUGCCCCUCAUCCUGAUUCUCCUGGCCCAAGUGUGCUUGCAGCACAAGCUCGGCAUUGCCCUGUGCGUCGGGAAGGCCAGCACCCUUGUCUUUGCCAACCCCUCANCCUGCCCUGUCCGAGCUGAAGGCCAAGGCCUGCUGGCUCCAGAAAGGCCUGCCCUCAUCCUGGUUCUCCUGGCCCAAGUGUGCUUGCAGCACAAGCUCGGCCUUGCCCUGUGCGUCGGGAAGGCCAGCACCCUUGCCUUUGCCAACCGCUCGCUGCAAGAACAGGUCUCUCUGAGGGAGGAGAGGUAGGCGCUGGUCACCUUGUGGAUCUUGGCCUUUUUGGCAGGAAACGCCCUCUAUGUGCUCUCUGCAUUCAGUUCUCAACAGCCCUACAGCAGCCUCAUGCUCCUGAAGCCCAACCUGGAGACACUGGACGACUUCUUUGACCUGCUGUGGAUUGUGGGCAUCGCUGACUUUGUGCUGGAGUAGGUCACCCUCGCCCUUGAGUGCCUCACCGUGGCCCUGCCCACCACCACCCUGGCCUCGAGUCCAAGGGAAGACCGCCUGAUGACACGGGGAGAAGGCAGCAUCUGUAAGCCAAGGAGCGAGGUCUGGGAAGAAACCAACCUUGAGGACACCUCCAUCUCAGGCUCCCGGCCUCCAGAACUGGGAGGAAAUACAUGUCUGUCGUUGUGCCCCCCAGUCUGUGGCACUUUGUGAUGGCAGCCCUAGAAGACUAAUACAUCCACACACCGGUUUCCCCACACUUCUGUCCUUUUAAACUCCUUUUAUUUUGAGGAGUUAGUUUUGGGUAAAUAAUAUUGUAAUAUUGCAACAAAGGAGACAUAAUAUUCCCCUUUUUAAAUCAAAGCAUCAACUAUUUAAAAUGCAUAAUUA